GAAUACAAAAAGAAAACAGACAGGUUGACAAGGAAGAUGUGAAAGGUGUGGGGCCAUUUGCCCCAUUCCCCUCACCAUCUCCCCCCUUUGGUUUUGGUUCUCGAAGUUGAGAGGAAAAAGGGUUUAUUUUGGUGAAGUGAUGGUUGAUUUGAUGGAGAGGUUUGGAAGUGGGUGUUGCAGGCUUUUGAUGGUGCAGUCAAGACCAAGGACCAUGACUCUCCAUCCCUAUGUCUACGAAUUCUCCACCCUUUCCUUCCUGUACCCUCUCUCUCUUCCCCCACAUUGCCAAGCACAAUUUUCAGACACUUUCAUGGGGUACAAUUUUCACACACUUUCAUGGGGUGUUGUGAUUUCUGAAAGGAAGUUCUUCAACAAGAGAUACUUCUCUUGCAUUUAAUAAAUCUUUAGAGUUUGAUAUGACUUCAUAAUCUUCAGAACUCGGUUGGAGAGGAGGAACGAAACAUUGCCUAUUAUAAGGGUGUGGAAACCUUACCCUACCAUACGCUUUUUAAAGCCUUUAGGGGAAACCCGAAAGG